rnacentral:rRNA from 1 species
AGAUUGAACGCUGGCGGCAGGCCUAACGCAUGCAAGUCGAGCGGCAGCACGGGUACUUGUACCUGGUGGCGAGCGGCGGACGGGUGAGUAAUGCCUAGGAAUCUGCCUGAUAGUGGGGGAUAACGCUCGGAAACGGACGCUAAUACCGCAUACGUCCUACGGGAGAAAGCAGGGGACCUUCGGGCCUUGCGCUAUCAGAUGAGCCUAGGUCGGAUUAGCUAGUUGGUGGGGUAAUGGCUCACCAAGGCGACGAUCCGUAACUGGUCUGAGAGGAUGAUCAGUCACACUGGAACUGAGACACGGUCCAGACU